rnacentral:lncRNA from 1 species
UGGAACACAUUUUUUUUUGUAAAAAAUCAACGAAAACUUGUAGAAGAAAAACUCAAGAGGCUCAGAUAUGUUAACAAUCAAAACAAAGAAGAACAAACCGCCAUGGCUGCAAACGUCACGUUUGCUACAUAUAGAAGCCUCCGUAGAUUACCCCGCCAAGAUACGAUCUGUUUCAACCUUUGUUCGAUUCGCUCAGACAACAACUAGAAAGUCAUCAUCAUUGCCUCUAAAAUCAUUGCUGUUUUUUCUUCAUAAUUUAGCCUCUACGAGAAACAAGACCAAAAGAAUACCGAUAUGUUUCAUCGUAUUUGGGGGAAAUGACAGUUGAAAGAGGCAACAAACAAGCACAAAGAUUACAGGAUCGAAAAUGUAUGGUAGAGUAGUAGACUGAAGACAUAAGCAAUACAUAUGGGUGUUGAAUGUUGGGGGGAAAUCGAAGAUCAUGGGCUGCAGAAGGGGGGGGCAACACCAAACCCUUCCCUCUGCUGCCUUCUCACUUCACUCUUGUUGUCUGAGCUUUCGGUUUCCCCCAAACCCUCAUCUUUUAGAUGA